rnacentral:misc_RNA from 1 species
AAGUCGUAACAAGGUUUCCGUAGGUGAACCUGCGGAAGGAUCAUUAACACGUAUCCAAACGUUAAAACCCCCCCCGUGAACAUUCAUCCUGCUCUUGUAACCCGCGAAGCUUGCAAUCUCUGGUAAAUCAUAGCCCGGAAAGUAGUUUUGAUUCAGAGACCUCUGGCCCGUGAGCUUCACAUUAAACUGUGGGGUUGUAAGGGGGCAUGGGGACCCUUUGGCCUAGCUCCUGCCCGCGAGAUGCGGUCUACAAGAAUCGUGAAGCGUUAUCCUUGCACAAUCAAUGACACUUUCAGACACUGACUGCUUGGGGAAACAAGGCCUAUAGAACUACCGCUCAAAAUUGGGUAAAAAAACCGAACAACUGUUAACAAUGGAUAUCUUGGUUCUC